UGCUCUGAUGAAGAGUAAAGCUGAAAUAACAUAAAUGUAAACGCAAAUAAAUACCGGUUUUGAUACUUUCGUAGUAUUACGUUGGUUACUUUUAUUCUGGAAUUUCGUAAUGGUAAAGUACCUGCGUGAAGUUGGAUCCCAACCCGGCAAAAUAGGCCUAAUCGUUUGAUCUCUUUUUGUGUUGGUUUGUGCCGUUAAAAUUUUCGUUUGUGCUGCUAACGUUUUCUUGAUAGUAAAGUCAUUCUGAGGUCACUCAGCCUUAUAAGUUGGUGUAUUAAUUCUGAAAUGUCUUGCCCCGGAAGUACUUUUACUGUUCCCUGGUUCCAGAUAAGAUUGAGCAAAAAAAAAAUGGAGAACAACAAGUAUACCACGGAAGCCCAGUUUUUGACCCAAAAACUGAAAUGUGGGGAGUUUAAAAUAGUUAAAAACAUGGCACGAGUUAAGUCAGACGUAUGGGAUGAUUUCGGAGUUAUCGUUGACGCUGAGAAACAACAUGUGGAUGGAUUCGUAGCGUGCAAAAUGUGCAAGCGCGUUUUCACCUAUCAGAGUAAACGAACAGGCACUUCCAGCUUGAAAAAACACAUUGAGAGAUGCCCGAACUUCAAUGAAGGAAAGCCGAUAAAAAGACACCCGAACCCCACAGAAGCAGGGGGCGUGACCGUGUCACCCUGCAGGGAACCUCCAAAUAAAAGGCAAAUGUUUGAUCCACCCCGAGGUGCUACGGCCAAUCUAGCCCAACACAGGUCAGAGGUUACUGGCCCACAAUGCACUGCAAGCGACUCCUCCCAUGGAGAUGACACAGACGGGACUGAAAUUAACACAACGGAUUCCACCUACAGUUACAGGCUAUUGCCACCCACAAACACCAACUACAGAGACCCCAACUACAGAUACAGGCUGUUGAAGGUGGAAAUAGUAGACUGCUGGCAAACGCCACACCUUAACAUCAUCAUCAAAGAGGAGGAGGAGGAGGAGGAGGAGGAGGAGGAGGAGUGUUCUUUCAUCGUCAAAGUAGGGGAGGAGGAAAAGGAGGAAAACAUAGAUGCAGUAAAAGAAGAGGAAGAGGAAGAAGACGACGACCAGGAGGAGGAGGGUGGUGUUGUGGUGAAAGAAGAAGAAGAGGAAGAAGCCAUUGGGGAUUUGACUCGUCCCGGUAAAGUACAGAUAAUUUAUACAUCCCAAUUUGUCCCUGUAUCCCUGCAGUGUACCUUGGUCAGAAGUGUGGUUGUAAAGGUUAUAGGGUGCCAGUUGGGAUUCAUCCAAUAUUACAUCUGUUGA
rnacentral:lncRNA from 1 species